GCCCAAGUGGCGGAAUUGGCAGACGCGCAUGAUUCAGGGUCAUGUGGGCGUAAGCCUGUCGGGGUUCGAGUCCCCGCUUGGGCACCA
rnacentral:tRNA from 1 species